CGCCUCUGUCUGGCGGAGGGGUCCGCGCCGCCGGCGGCGCGCGCGUGUGUACUUGUGUCUGCCAGGGGCCGCCGCUGCGGGGAGAGGCGCGAGGCAAGUCGUGACGGCUUCAAUGGCCGUAGCGGCUCCGGGCGGCCGCUGAGCGGCGGGUGCGGCGCGCUGCGGGGCUGAAGGCUUCGCGGGGCGGGGGGUGCGCGGCGCUCGGAGGACCGCCGACCCCGCCCCGCCGCAGCGAGCGGCUCUGCCUUUGUGCUUCCUCCGCACCUGAGGUGCGAUGCCGGGAGGGGAGAUCAUGUUUCAUUAAAAGUGCUGACGAGAACCCAGAACUCUGAAGACAGCGGUUUUGUGCAAGAUAAGAAUGUUAGAAUGUUCCUUAAAGAAGCUGAUGGAGGAUAGAGCUCUGGCAGUGCAAGAUGACACCAUGAUAUAGUCUGAAAUUCUGCUGCAUUUGAGCAAAUCCUCACUUGCUGCAGCCUAGGACUUCUCUACUCUGCUGUCAUUGCUGUUCUUUCCAUUGCAUCAAAGGUGAUUCGCAGUCAGUAAAAGCAGGUCUUUACAAUCCAGCUGUGAUGGAGUCAAUGGGUGAAACUCAAGAGCAACAAGAACAGCUGAACAGGAAGGAGCAGUCGCUGAAAACCACCCAGAAAACUGCACUGCUUGCUUGGGCUGCCUGGUGGAAUGGAUUAAUGACUGGAGACAGCAUGUAUCUGUUUGUCCUCUCUCAGAUACUGCUUCUCUGCAUGAUGCUGUGGUACAGCACUUAUGGGACCAUCUCAGCAGCUCAGAAUGCCUUUGACAUGCUGUUUUACUUGCUUACCCCAUUUGAACAGUUUUUGUCAGAUCAAGGAGGGGAUCUAACUAGAAUUGGGAAUGUUGUGAUAUCGUAUAUCCUGCUGUCCUUAGUUUCUCUAGGACUGCUACUUGUUGGAUCUCUGUUUUGGCAUCUGCUCAGAGCUCGUCCAGACCCCCCCUUUCCGCUCCAGGAGGACAGACGCCAAUCUGUGAGCCGGCAGCCUUCGUUCACGUACUCAGAGUGGACAGAAGAUAAAAAUGAGGAUGACUUCCUAGACUUGGAUCCUGUACCAGAGACCCCAGUCUUUGACUGUGUAAUGGACAUUAAAGUGGAGACAGAUCCAGCUACUCUAACAGUUAAAUCCGUGGGCUUGCAAGAAAGGAGGGGUUCCAAUGUUUCACUCACGCUAGAUAUGUGUACCCCAGGCUGUUCUGAGCAAGGUUUUGGCUAUAUCAUGUCACCACGGGAACAGUCAGCGCAAGAAUAUCUCCAGACAGCAUCAAACAUUCUUACUGAAGAAGAACUGCACAAGAAAGCUCUGGAUUCAUUCAUACUCCAGGCAGAAUUCUUUGAAAUUCCAAUGAACUUUGUUGAUCCAAAGGAAUAUGAUAUUCCAGGCCUGGUGCGGAAGAAUCGCUACAAAACAAUUCUUCCAAAUCCUCACAGCAGAGUGUGCCUUACCUCAGCUGAUCAGGACGACCCCCUUAGCUCUUAUAUCAAUGCUAACUACAUCAGGGGCUAUGGAGGAGAGGAGAAGGUAUAUAUUGCUACUCAGGGACCGAUAGUUAACACUGUCAGUGAUUUCUGGAGAAUGGUGUGGCAGGAGCGUUCUCCCAUCAUUGUCAUGAUUACCAAUAUAGAAGAGAUGAAUGAGAAAUGCACAGAAUAUUGGCCAGAGGAACAGAUCACCUAUGAAGGAAUAGAAAUCAUAGUUAACCAAGUCAUACAAGCAGAUGACUACCGUUUAAGGCUCAUCACCCUAAAGAAAGGAGAAGAAGUCAGAAACCUGAAACAUUACUGGUACACAUCUUGGCCAGACCAGAAGACACCAGAUCAAGCUCCUCCUCUGUUACAACUAGUACUGGAAGUGGAAGAGGCAAUGCAGAAUGCAGAAGAGAAGAAUGCUCCAGUGAUUGUUCACUGCAGUGCAGGCAUCGGGAGGACGGGCUGCUUUAUUGCAACUAGUGUCUGUUGUAAACAGCUGAAGAGUGAGGGCAUAGUUGACAUAUUGCGAACAACUUGCCAGUUACGGUUAGACAGCCCCAUUCAUUCCUGUCAUCCUCAUUACUGACCAUUUGGAUGCAAGAGAAGAAAGAGUGAGAACAGAACAGCGAAAGUGAGGGCAGUAAGCAGAAGAGGAUAAAACCCCUUUGGGGCAGGACCAGGCAAAAGUAAGAGUGAUCUUUCUCCUGGAUUCAAAAAUCAUAUUGCUAUGAGAAAAAUUCUUGAGCAGAAGAUGAAUGACAGCAGUGUCUAGAGAUGCGUGAUAUCCCUUUGUAUUUUUUUAGAAGAUACAAUGAGAUACGUAGGCUAUGACAGAGACUCUUUAAUUGUUUUCUGCAAAUAAGGAGUCAGAGAACAUUCAUCUCUUACGCAGGCCAAGAAACAAAGGCCAGCUCCACAAGAAUACCAAAGUGUAUAUAUUAUGACAAGGAAUAGGAUUUCCUUGGGUAAAUGCCAAAAGAGAGCGCUCUUGCUAAAGCUGUAAUUUCUCCUGGCAACAAAGCAAAGUCUGGAGGUCACACGGUCGUAACAUUGUCCUCUUUGUUGAUUGUGUCUUCUAGAUGGCAGCUUGUAACUACAAACUGUAUCAGAGUUGAAGCCUGUACCCCUAACUUUAGGGAAGGUUGCGUUUUGGGUUGCCUUCCUUCUGCCUCAAGAGCCUUCAAUGAGAACACAACUGUGUCAUAGUUUCAUUUUAUCUGCCUUGUCAAGGAACACUUUCUAAAACUAGGGAUACUCUAUUUCUAGAUGACUAGCACCUAUAACUCAAAGACUAGAAUUGAGUAGUUUCUCUACUCCAACUCUCUACUCCAACUCUCUACUCCAACUCUCUGCACCAACUCUCUACUAGUCUUGGCACAGCAGUAGGUAGCAGACGCCCUCCUGGAAACGGGUCAUAUGCUUCCAGAAAUUUCUUCAGUUAGCAUAGAUGCAUAAUCUUUUCAAGUGAUGCAUACCAAGCUAGUUGUUGCCUUUAGGUGUAAAAUGUGUACUGAAUGGUUUGGGAGUUGAGAAUUUGUCUAAAUGAAGGGCAAAGGAGGGCUUAGUAAAAUUUAGAAGGAUAGACUAGUAAGUCCUAAUAUGUCUUUUGAUGCAUCUGGUUUUGACACCUUUCUUGAACGUUUAACAUCAGAGCAUCAAAGCAUCUUGUAGCACCACUAUGCAAGCAAGGUAGCCCAGUUUUUCCAUUAUGCAGAUGACAUAGCUGGGACACAGGGAGAGCAAAUUACUGGCCCAAAGCCUCACAGAAAGACUGGAAAAAAAUAAAGAAUUGAUCAGCACCCCCUGUGGAAAGUCAGCACAGUACUUGCUGCAAAAUCCUUUAUGUGUAGGGGUUUUAACUGACCAGGCAAUUGCUUAUUUAUCUGUUGUAUUCCAGGGCUUCUUGUUGUAUCCUUACUUUCCUAUUUCUGGUAAAUAAAUUUUUCAAACAACAUCUCUCUGUUCAACUUGAUUAACACGUUUGUUCCCAACCAAAGAGGUUGUUUUUAGGAGGUCUGUGCCAUAUAGGAGCAUUUUAGCAUGGUGACAUGCUCCUUUGUGAUGCUUGCUUGCUGGAGAAAAUAUUUCUAAAUUUGUGGAAAAGCCUUGUCCACUGACAACACCCAAGGGUGAGUAACAAUUAUUUCUGGUGAAAGCCAGUUCUCUACCUAGUAUAUGACAAUAGCUGACUGCAUUUUCAGGUGCUCCUAGAUACGUUCACCCACUAUGUGCAAGUAAACGUGGUUCAUCAUGUUUUACACAUGGAGGAAGUGGUUUGAAAAAAAAAAAAAAAAGAGCAAACCCUAUUACUCAUCCUUACAGUUUCUAGAGAUUUGUGCUGGACCAGUGGGAAAGGUACAGUUCAUUUUAUCAGCUGGAAAGCAGUCUUUACUGAUUCAAAGUCAGGAGAUCCUGUUUAAGCAAAAGUCAUGAACAGAUAAUGUGGGGCUGAAAGAAUGUGACCUGAAAAGACUAAGUAAAUAAGCUCCCAUUAUGUUCGCAUAUGAUGGAUCCAUAACUAUAUAAUGUAACAGAAAGAUUAUAUUAGCCUUGAUUAUGAAUCACAAAAAAAAGUUACAAAUAAUUCUUGUCAGUCUGCAGAGUACUUCUAAGGAACAAAUUUAAUUCCCAGAGUAAUGUUUGUGAUGUAUGUGAAGCCGUAUUAGGUACAGUAAGUAAAGUAAAGCAAGGUUAACCUAAUCUCCAUGAAACAAACAUUAAAAAUAAGCCCAGAGUAACAGGUCCUUUUUCCACUUCACUUAUUCAUUAAUCAGUUCCAAUAUUUCUUCCUGAAUUUUCAGGGGCAUUCAGAGCUGAAAUGAUUAGUAAACCAAAUCCUAAGGUAACAUGGAAAGGAGAGGGAAACUUUCCUAAGGAACAUGGAAAGUACCAGUAGAGGGACCCAGAGUGUUGUUCACAAUAUCACUAAGGAAUAUUGGUAACACUUUUCGCUUUAUUUAUUUAUUUCCAUAAUAAAACUUUAAAUAAGAAAAAGUUAAUCACUAUAAUAUUUAUCAGUAGCUAAGAAAAUGUCCCAGGUUGCAGUAGUCCUACUGCAGCACUGCUACUUGCCAAUACUGUUGAAUGUUUGUAGGGCAUUGUUUCCAAUCAGCAGCAAACAACACUAGAGCAAGAACUGCUAUUUUUGUUACUUGGUUAUGCAUUUAUUGUAGUGGGGCACUAAUGCCCCUUGUGUGCCUUUCAGGCAAAAAUAAAAAAAUAAACAGUGCUAAACCUCAAUAAUUUGUAAUAUUAUUCAGGACUUUCUAAUGUGACUCUGGAGGCUUGCCAGUGUGAUUCCCAUCUACAAGAAGAGUCUAAGGAAGAUCUGGGAAACUACAGACCCAUCAGCCUGACAUCAAUGCCAGGAAAGGCUACGGAACAGAUCAUCUUGAGUGAGAUCACUGGUAUUUGCUGGACGAUGGGGAAUCAGGCCCAGCUAGCAUGGGUUCAUGAAAGGAAGAACCUGCUUGACCCGCCUGAUCUCCUUUUAUGUAUUGUUAGCACUUUGGCAAACUCCCAGCAGAUGGGCUGGCAGACAAGGUGGUGGGAAGGAUUUCUGUAAUCUGUUUUCCCAGCAAUGACCAUCAGAUGGGGGAGCAUUGAGAUCUCUAUCUAUGUUCUCUGAUGCUAUGAAAACUUGUUUGGAACUGCAUGAAUCCCUCUUCCAAGAGAGGUCUAGAUAUCUCGAAUGUUAUAACAUGACAGUUGCUUAUUUACUUGGAAAAGAAGCAUGAAUUUUUUCUGAAGUGCUAUGUGCAGGGGACCUCCAGCUCUGAGGAAGAACGUAAAGAAGUUGGUGGUUGAGGAGAAAGAAACAUUGGAGAUCAUCCCUAAGAAUCUGGAGAAUUUAGAGAAGGCCUGUGUGAACUUCUCUCAUUUCUCAGGAAAUUGAAAGAGGUGAAGGAAGAAGUGGAGGUUGAAGUUAGUGUCAUAGUACCUCAAGACCCUUGACAGAGUCAAAAAAAAAAAAACACGCAUCCAAAAAGACAACUGUGGUGGAAGACAGUUACACAUCCCAGAUGGAAUAAGUAUCUACAUUUUUUUGCAGCUGGACAAAAGCUGGAUAUUCAAAGAAAUGUGAAGAAAUUGUGUCGAAUCCUGACAAGGUUAACCUGUAACAUUCCUGAUAGAAACAAAACCACUGAAAAUGACCAAAAAACUUUGCUAGCUGUGAUGUUUGAAAUGGGCCUGCUAAGGAAAAUGCCAAACUUCAUGUGGAAGUUCAAUGGGCAAGUGUGGAAGCAGGACAAGGUUACAGUUCAAUUCAUCAGCAAACCUGAGAAUACCCAAAGGAAGAAUGGAAAAUCCUGUCUGGAGUAUGUGCUGAUUUUGGAAGAUGUCACUCUGAAAGAGAUGAGGAAUUGAUGGGUGAUUGAAAGAUUUCAAGUACACUAGGAAUCAUGAAGGGAAGAGAGCAGAGCUUAUCAUAAUGUUGAUGAGCCAGUGACUCAGGAACUUGUAUAGGCAUUGCUGUGUGAGGCAGUGAACCUAACGACUGCUACAGCAGCUCCAUUGUAACUGGGAAGUCUGUUGAACAGGUGUCUCAGCAUUAAGGACUAAAUGUCAGGAAAGAAGCUGUCACCACCACCAGAAACUCCUCAGUCCAGAUUGGAGGUUCCCCAGAGCUAGGCUAUGUCACAGAAAGAAGGAAAAAGAAGGUACCUGAAGCAAAUGAUACAGUGCAUGUUCAGCCAUGCAGAGCCUAGAUUUCCCAGCACAGCUUUAACCACUUGUUGCAAAGGAUCCCAUCAGUGUCUGUCUUCAACUAUUUAACAUCCAGUUUUCCUGAACAUGUGUGCUAUGACAAGAUCUAUGCGUUUAUAACCAAAUUCUGAAGCAGUGUGGCAAACUUCAUCCUGACUCAGUAGCCUGCAGAAGUCCUGACAGUCCUCCACCUGGUGGACUUUUACAGCUCCAGCAUUUUCUCAGCCUGGCAGGAACCAAACAAGGAAGCUGUGCCAUCAGGAUACAUACUAGAGGAUAUCAGCAGAGAACACCAAGGAUGGACCAAGUGCACCAAGAUCCCUGUCUGUAGUACCACUUAACACUGCAGGAGGCUUGCAGGACAGACAUACCCUUCCAAGCUGCGAGUGAAGCCGGUGUGGAAAAAGCAAUGGAGUUACAGGUAAGACUUGCAAUAUCCAUCUAGCUGGAAUUCCCAUCUCUUACUGAUCCUUUCUUCUUAAAUAUACAUAAUUUUUUAAAGGGUGAUCAAAUUCAUGUUGCACGAAGGAAUGUUUAGUAUCAGAACUCUACUACUUCUUGCUGUGUUUUUAGAGGUGCUGGGAGAAAAUAGAGGCCAGCACAAGCUGUGCAGUUCUUUAGUCAAAUUAAAGGAUUCUGCCAUCCUUCUGGCUAGUCCUGAGUUGUUCCCUGAACAGGUAUCUUAGGUGCAAUCAUAGCUGUUACUUCCACCACUGAUGUUUCUCACGUAUUUCGUUACACAAGUCUAGGUUGGAAUAUUUUCUGAUUUCCAUCAAGGAUGCUGUAGUCUGAGUGUGGGUGAGGUGGGUAAGUAUUAUAGCAAAUAAACUGUCGUAAUUAUGAAAUGCUUGUUUCAAAUACAGUGGUACUGAGACAGAAUUACAGUUCUUUCAGGUGGCUGGUUUGAAUGAGAUGAGCAAUCAGGUGACAGCAAGCCAAAGUUUAAAUAACAUUGUCAGAGGUCAUGCUUCAAAGAUACUAAUCAAGUCUUGAGAAUUAAAGUAUUAUGUCAUGCUAAGAAAUCCCUAGCCAGCUCAUUAUUCAAGGUAGGAAAUUACUUAAAUCAUCAUUGUUUAGGAUUUAGGAGUUCUUGAUGAUGAAUUGUGUAAUUAGACUUUUUAUUCCUAAGAUACUCUCAGGUGACAGAGCAUGAUGCUGACUGCCCUAAGCAGCAGUAAGUCAUGUUAUGCAGCACUGAUUUCUGCAGAGUAGAUGGAUGUUCAGGCUUGACUGAGGGAAAUCUCAGAAGAUGACGCAGUGACCAAUAAUAAACAUCGUUGUUUCUACUCUCAGUCUUCACUUUGGAACUACAUAACCAAUCUGUGCUUUGAUACCAUAUUUCCAAACACAGGAACACCAAAAAAUCCCAGAGCCAAUGCAGGCUCCAGAUAAACUUCUCUGGUAUAGAAUGGCAAUGUGCAGCACUGUAAUGAAAAAUAGAAGUCAUACUAGAAACAGACAUAGAAAAUUGUUUGUGGCAAAGAGGAUGGGCAUCAAUAAGGCAUUAGAUCUGCCUCUUCUUUUUCUUUGCUCUUAUUCAAUUUUACAUGAACUAUUAUUAAAUGUUCCCAUGUUUGCCCUUUCUCACCUGAAAUUGGUGAACAGGUGCUCGUCACUAAGCUGUUGAUUGCUGAGGUAUUAUUGCUUUUUUUCACGUGGCCUGGGUAUUAGGAAAAUAGCUGGCAUUGCUCCUCUUAACCAACUUCAACACUAGUUGUAGAAAGUUUCUUCCUUCAGUCUCCAUUGUUCACUUCUUCAUGCUUGACUCAGCAGACUGAAGAAUGACUUCUUUUUCCGAUGCAGUCUCUCAUUAUUUUAAUUUUUUAAUUUUUUCUCUUUCUGUCUUGUUUUUCUUCUAUCCUUCAUAGGUUUGACCUGACUGUGAGGCUGAAGAGCCACAUGGUGGUUUGUGCUGGAACAGCACAGUGCAUUCAUACAUUUUUGUCCAUACAAACUAGCUUGCUCCUUAGAGAAAAUUUCAUUACUGUAAUGAUCUGGUGGGGAUGAGAAGUUUAGAGAUCUUUGCAUUGUAUUUUAUACAUUGCCUCUUCAGAGUGCUUUUUAAAACUAGCAACCAUAUUUUUUCAUCAGGAAGGAGUUAUAUACGGCAAGCUGCUAUCAGGUUCCUCAAGCCAGAAGAAAUCAAGGAGAAAGUGCUUUAAUUAAACACACAAAGACUCUGGAAGGGAGGAGCUGAAGUGAAAUAAUUUUGCCCCAGAAAAGAACACAGGGAUGGUUCCAAACAGGAGAAAUCAAUACUUAAAUCUGCAAAAUAAUUCUUAGAUUUCCUCUGAUCAAUCACUAAUCUCAGCUGGCUUGAGAAAGUCCCAAGAAACUGUGAUACUAAAAUAGAAUUACACCCAGGAUGAAGAAGAGAACUAGCAGACACAUUAUGAUAUCCUGAAAAAUGAUAUCAGUACUGCCACACAGUUCACACAGCCACAGAAAAGUCUACAGCAGUAAGUACACCAUCACAGGCCUGCUCCCAGCAGGGAAAUACUUUUUCUGAGUCAUUGCCCACAAUAACACUGGGGACAUUGACCCUCUGGAUUCAAAGAAGCUGUGGUACAUCUCCAAAGACAAAGGUAAGCAUAAAAAUUCAUGUUAGUGCUGAGGAAAAAGGGUGCUUUUGUACACUAGACUGCAGAGUAACGUCAGGCUUCCUCUUUGGCUUUGACCAUAUCACUAACUUGUUCUCCACCUCAGCUCCCCACCUAGGCAGUGAGCACAGGAAUUCCUUUUUUGCUGUUCCAUCUAUUUGAUAGCAAUUUUCUCAGCUCCAAGCUGCCUUCAACAAUAUGCACGUGUAGGACAUUGUGUAGCAGAUUCUAUAGAUGUUGAUUAAAAUUUAAGAUAGUAGAGCCUGUCCGAAGCUUAUAGCUUAUCAUGUCUUGAUGAAACAGACUACUGGCUUUACAAAUUAUUGUCUGGUAGUGUAUUUCCCAUCCAAGUGGGAUUUGUUUCCUAAAUGAGAAGGAUUCAUUCAGAAAAACCAAUCUGUCAUGUUUAGGAGAUUGCAUGACAGUCUUGUUGGGCAAGAAACAAUAGAAGUCCCUGGAAGUACAUGAGGUGUGCUUUUAGCACUCUCACGGGUACUGUGUCAGGUAAAUGUGUUUUCCUUUGUUCAGUUGUUCUCUGCUCAGGCCUUAUCAGUAAUAAGGAUAUCUCAUCAGCAGUAGUCCCAGGCAAAACUGAACAGGCCCCAGUUCAUGAAAUCAAAACAAUAAAUGAUCUUUCUGCCUGGGCUGGGGGAAAGCAGAAUGUAGUUACUUGGAUUUGUGAGAUCCAAGCCCAAUUUUUCAGUCUGGCUUAUUAAUGCAUAUAUUUUGUUUAUUAUUAAAACAGAAAUAUAAAACAAGGAAACUAUAUAUUAAUAUAUAUUACCAGGCUAUGCAUAUAUUUCUUCAGAAGCUAUCCACAUGCUUCUACUGGUCUUCUAAUUCCAUCAAGAGCAGUGGGAAUUACAUUAAAGAAAUAGAAUAAGUAAUACACUAAAAUAAGUAAUUGGGUAUCAGAGUGCUUAUUUUUAUUUAAUGAUCAGGCUUUCUUGAUCCAUGUCACUAAACCAUAGGUAUGUUUCUUCUGUUAUAUGCACUCCUGUGAAGGAACAUAUCCAGUUUGGUGGUUGUAGUCAUUUUCUUGUGCAGAAGUGCUGUAUGCCUGGGUCUUGUUCUAGGCCUGAACAACUUAGGAAACUUCUGCGUAUGUAACCAAGCAUAAAGGGUAGUGAAUGGAGAUUGUGUCUUUAGGGUACAUUCCCUUGGUAACAACCUGCUUGUCUUCAGGCAGGACAGCAGGACACAAGCAGAUGUGAACUGAUCUCCUAUUCUUCAUUCUAAAUGGCAAGCCGUUGGUUUUAUUUGCAGAAGCUUGAGACAUGGUAGAAAAAUCUCUGAGGAAUAAGGAAGAAAUAGAGUUGUUUCCCAAGAAUGGGGUCUACUAGGAGAAUUUUACCCUACGGUGCUAUAUUUAGGAUGCAGGGAACUUACCUGAUGGGGCCUCAUUCUAAUGCAAAAGAAGAUAAUAAAGACUUCAGAAAAUGUAUUUAGAUACAGGCUGAAAAUAGAUGUACAAUGGACAAUGGAAAUUAAAUUGCAUAUGCAGAUCCCCAUGAUUCCCCCUAGAGCAUUCUGUUGACUAUUAAUGCCUCAGAGCAAUAUCCCUUCCUUUCCAAGAUCACCUGGUUUGGUUUAUAAUUGGGUGUAAUUUAAUCGUGCAUUUCUAAAGCACCAUGGGAGCCAAAUAUCCCAAAGCACUUUACAACUUAAUGGCAUUAACAAGAGAAAGCAUCAAUAUAUCCCCAUGGAGCAAAAACCUGAUACCUUAUUUACAGACCGAGAAGCACAAAAAUUAAUUGCUUGCCUACUAUUGCAUAUUGGCUUGAUGGGAGACUGAGGUUUCUGAGUCUUCCUUCUCUUGUUUUUCAUUCUGUAUUUGUUUACAUGGGGAAUAGAUACAUUGGUCCAAUGCUGAGGGUAAUGUAGUAUAUUGUUCAUUCUUCCUCCCUGAGUGGGGAAAGAAGACCCAGGGCAUGAACUGUCAUAUCCAAGCUCUUUGGAUUUGCACUUACGCAGGAGAAGACUCCCUGUCCUGACGGUGCUGGCCACAUGUAUGUGUAUGUUUGCAUAUCUGUGUGCAACAGACAGUGUGGUAUAAAGCGGUCCACAGCAUCUCUAUUUCCUUAGCAUGGUGUUUUGAUCUCAAGAUGAAGGAGUGUCCCAGCAAGGACUAGCAUUGUGCUUCUCACCAACAAACCAUAGCAGGAGUCACAGCAACAACUGCAUCGUGAACUGCGCUUCCACUAACAACCCCCAUGCAGGAGUUACCCCAUACAAGGGCAAUAUUAGUAUCACGUGUUGCAACAGGUGGCAUCUGCCUGCUUACGAUCCUAACAACCUACAGCUGUAAGAUGGCCAUAAGUAAGUCAGAUCCACAGCUGCUGUGCUUCAGAUUGUGUAACUAACAGUAGAUUUUAUGUAUCUAAGUAUAGUUUUGCUAUUUUUCAAGGCAAAUGUUCUAACUGUGACUGGCAGUGCACUUCUUUGGAUCAUUUUGGCUCUUUUGCUUGCACAUAAAGUAAGCAAUUGCCCAGUUCUGCAGAUAAAGGUCCAUGGACCACAGUGUUUCUAAGAACUUCAGAUCAAAAGCAGCCUGUCUCUGGCGUUGUCUUCCUCUGAAAUCAUUAAGAUUUGCCUUCAGUUGUUUGAAAACAGUAUUAGAUUCCAUAAAAUGGCAUGUUUGGGCUAGCAGUCUCAAAUAUCCCCAGCUGACUCAAAAGCAAAUAUGGCCUUUUCUCAGUCCCUGACCAGCCUUAUCCUACACAUUUCCAAGCAGUCCAAGCUCUAACAACAGCUUUCUGCUUUUUUCACAAAUACUAAAGACUGCACUGGUUAAAUCUUCUCAUCCUGUGAAAUGCCAGCAUUUUGCCAACGUUUGCCAACAUUUUUACCAGUAAAAAUUUCCAAGGCAAAAAGUUUAAAAAAAAUAAAUAAGUUAAAAAAUCAGACACUGAUAUCCUCCCUUCACUUCCCUGCUUUUCUUCAUGCCAGAAAUUCCCACCCAGUGAACUUUAAGUCAAGUUGUAACACAGCAGCAGUGUUCCAGUUAGCUCAGACUGGCCACAUGCAACUGAGCAUUUACAGGUGCGUGGGGUGAUGUUUUACUAACAGUAAUGCACAAGCCACACACAGUUUCCCCGUGUCAUGAUGCUCAAACUUGCAGCUUGCAGACUGUUCUGUUCCAGCCAUGCCUGGAAACUACUGUAUCCUCUGAGUUUCAGCAGCCCCUGUUAUGCUCACCCAACUUAUGAUUAACCAGGGAUCAAGGUUAAACACUGGAGAGCAAGAAAUCUCCAUCCUUUUGUCUGCCAUGAAACUCUUUCUCCCAUUUUCCUUUCUAGAGAAAAGGCCCUUGUGCCUCUGGACCUUGUUGUUAUUCUUUACAGGGAAUAAGAGAGAGACACUGCCAGACACAGCUUGAAAUGAAACUGAUACAGCACCAAUAAUGACAAGCUAUAUUUGGAAAGAUCUUUUAGGGUUAUUUUUGUCUGUGAUCACUGCUUCUGGACUGCCUGCUGGCAACUGCUGAGGCCCCACACUGGAGGGUUCCAUCUCUCUGCCAGUGGGGAAGUAGCUCGGUGUGGGUCAGUGGAGGGAAAAAAGGAUGUUUGCGUGCUGUGUUUCCUGCUCUGAUUUUCAAGUGCUCAUUUGUCUGUUUGUGUAGGAUAUAUAUGACACUUUUUUCACUGAAGCCACUACGCACCUAUAACACCAAAAGCAGUUCUUUGCUCUUUUUUAGGAUGCUCCCGUAUUACUGGGUCUUAUGCUUCCCAGGUUCACUGAUGCACUCCUCCCUGAAGCCACAGCUUCAAGCCACAUCCUACAGCUGGAGGACAGUUUCCUAGUUCCCAAAAGCAGUGGAAUCUCUCCAUGGCCUGGCAUCACUAUCAGCCAAGCUGAUGCAAAGAGAACUUUGGCAGUGCUGUUCACUGAUGCUAAGGAAAGACAGGCAGAUUCGAGGGGCAGAACAGCUUUCUAUACCUUUAGAGAUCUGAUUGCUUGAAAGGACAAACCUGCCUCCCCACACAAAUCUUGUUGUGGUAAAAAACUGUUACAAUAGUAACACGCCUCUCCAAAGCUAUGCAAAGCAACCUGUUUGUAAGCGGUAGCUGUGGAGCAAGGCUUGCAAAAGCACUGUGUGGGUGAGGUGCUAAUUUAUAUUUGGAUUUUUAA